rnacentral:rRNA from 1 species
GAUGAACGCUGGCGGCGUGCCUAAUACAUGCAAGUCGAGCGAACAGACGAGGAUCUUGCUCCUCUGACGUUAGCGGCGGACGGGUGAGUAACACGUGUAUAACCUACCUAUAAUACUGGUAUAACUUCGGGAAACCGGAGCUAAUACCGUAUAAGAUAUUGAACCGCAGGGUUCAAUAGUGAAAGACGGUUUUGCUGUCACGUAUAGAUGGAUCCGCGCCUCAUUAGCUAGUAGUUAAGGUAACGGCUUACUAAGGCAAGGAUGCGUAGCCGACGUGAGGGGGUGAUAGCCCACACUGGAGCUGGGACAGGGUCAAGGCUACUACGGGAGGCAGCAGUAGGGAAUCUUCCGCAAUGGGCGAGAGCCUGACGGAGCGACGCGGAGUGAGUGAUGAAAGUGUUCGGAUCGUAAAACUCUGUUAUUAGGGGAGAACAAAUGUGUAAGUAGCUAUACACGUCUUGACGGUACCUGAUAAGAAAGCCACGGCUAACUACGUG